rnacentral:rRNA from 1 species
AGGAUGAACGCUAGCUACAGGCUUAACACAUGCAAGUCGAGGGGCAGCAUUUUAGUUUGCUUGCAAACUGAAGAUGGCGACCGGCGCACGGGUGAGUAACACGUAUCCAACCUGCCGAUAACUCCGGGAUAGCCUUUCGAAAGAAAGAUUAAUACCGGAUAGCAUACGAAUAUCGCAUGAUAUUUUUAUUAAAGAAUUUCGGUUAUCGAUGGGGAUGCGUUCCAUUAGUUUGUUGGCGGGGUAACGGCCCACCAAGACUACGAUGGAUAGGGGUUCUGAGAGGAAGGUCCCCCACAUUGGAACUGAGACACGGUCCAAACUCCUACGGGAGGCAGCAGUGAGGAAUAUUGGUCAAUGGGCGCGAGCCUGAACCAGCCAAGUAGCGUGAAGGAUGAAGGCUCUAUGGGUCGUAAACUUCUUUUAUAUGGGAAUAAAGUUUUCCACGUGUGGAAUUUUGUAUGUACCAUAUGAAUAAGGAUCGGCUAACUCCGUGCCAGCAGCCGCGGUAAUACGGAGGAUCCGAGCGUUAUCCGGAUUUAUUGGGUUUAAAGGGAGCGUAGGUGGAUUGUUAAGUCAGUUGUGAAAGUUUGCGGCUCAACCGUAAAAUUGCAGUUGAAACUGGCAGUCUUGAGUACAGUAGAGGUGGGCGGAAUUCGUGGUGUAGCGGUGAAAUGCUUAGAUAUCACGAAGAACUCCGAUUGCGAAGGCAGCUCACUAGACUGUCACUGACACUGAUGCUCGAAAGUGUGGGUAUCAAACAGGAUUAGAUACCCUGGUAGUCCACACAGUAAACGAUGAAUACUCGCUGUUUGCGAUAUACAGUAAGCGGCCAAGCGAAAGCAUUAAGUAUUCCACCUGGGGAGUACGCCGGCAACGGUGAAACUCAAAGGAAUUGACGGGGGCCCGCACAAGCGGAGGAACAUGUGGUUUAAUUCGAUGAUACGCGAGGAACCUUACCCGGGCUUAAAUUGCAACAGAAUAUAUUGGAAACAGUAUAGCCGUAAGGCUGUUGUGAAGGUGCUGCAUGGUUGUCGUCAGCUCGUGCCGUGAGGUGUCGGCUUAAGUGCCAUAACGAGCGCAACCCUUAUCUUUAGUUACUAACAGGUCAUGCUGAGGACUCUAGAGAGACUGCCGUCGUAAGAUGUGAGGAAGGUGGGGAUGACGUCAAAUCAGCACGGCCCUUACGUCCGGGGCUACACACGUGUUACAAUGGGGGGUACAGAAGGCGGCUACCUGGUGACAGGAUGCUAAUCCCAAAAACCUCUCUCAGUUCGGAUCGAAGUCUGCAACCCGACUUCGUGAAGCUGGAUUCGCUAGUAAUCGCGCAUCAGCCAUGGCGCGGUGAAUACGUUCCCGGGCCUUGUACACACCGCCCGUCAAGCCAUGAAAGCCGGGGGUACCUGAAGUACGUAACCGCAAGGAGCGUCCUAGGGUAAAACUG